GAUGAACGCUGGCGGCGUGCCUAAUACAUGCAAGUCGAACGCACGGGCCCUCAGCGUGCUUGUCGGAUGUGAGCGGCGCACACGUGAGUGACACACGGGUAACCUAUCUAUACUACUUCGGGAACUUGGGGAGACCGGGCCUCUUACCGGGGAAUAUUUUUAGCCGCAGCAUUCGAACGGGAGGGACGGUCUUUCUGUCACUUAUAGAUGGAUCCCGGCUGCAUUAGCUGGUGGGUAAGGUAUGGGCUUACCAGGGCAACGAUGCAUAGCCGGCCUGAGAGGGUGAUAGGCCACACUGGAACUGAGACACGGUCCAGACGCCUAGGGGAGGCAGCAGGAGGGAAGUGUCCGCAAUGGGCGAAAGGGUGACGGAGUAAUGCCGCGUGAGUGAUGAAGGUCUUGGGAUCGUAAAAUUCUGUUACUAGGGAAGCACAUAUGUGUCCGUAACGGUGCACAUCGUGACGGUAGUUAAUCAGAAAGCGACGGCUAACUACGUG
rnacentral:rRNA from 1 species